CCGCCUUGUAGGUACUUAGGUCAGCUUUGCUGGUAAAAACUGUAAUAAUAAUAUAAUGGUGUGUACUUAUUCUUGGCAACGAUAAUGAAAGUUACUUUACUUCUUCUUAUUAUUAUUAUACAUUACAUUUGCACAAGAUACCAUAGGGGCACUUCCAGAAUAACAUAAAGUUUAAAAUAGCAAGUAUAACAUGGUAAGUUCCAUACCCUCCAGCCACGUUGUUGGAGUUCCACCCAUUGUUAAUGUAGACCUGGCUGACGCUCAGGAUCUGCUCGGUACCGUCAUUGGAGUUCAGGUUGUGAAUGUAGACCUGGCUGACGCUCAGGAUCUGCUCGGUACCGUCAUUGGAGUUCAGGUUGUGAUCUCCAAGAACCACACGCCAGGUUCUCUGACUACCCCCACACACACACACACACACAAAGACACAUACGGACACACACAAACAGACAUAAACAACACCGUGAUCCGUUAGGGAGAUACCUUGACCAGCCGUUCCUCAUAAAAUACUAAGUGUGUGAGUGUUUUCUUGUAUAAUGCAUUUGUAUUGGUCAGAGGUCUACUGCAAUGUUACGUAUUUAAUGCACACAAUUAAACACUUGAGAAAAGGAAAGAGUUAUGUCAGUGGUCCUACCUGUCCACACAGUGGGCGGCUGUCAUGACCCAUCCCCUCCUGAUCAGAGUUCCUCCACAGGUGUGGUAGAAAGAGCUGCCAGACUUGUACUGGAGAGAGAUCUGAGGAGAGGACGGAGGCAGACGAAAGGGAGAAGUGAACAAUAAUGAGGUGGUUCAACAGCUUGGUUUCGGAGUGGGAAGGACGAGAACAUCCAAAAUAAAUGGAUUUACCCAAAUACUUUUUAAAUACUGAAAAGGUGUUAUAACAUGAAUCAUUCAGCUCCAGCUUAAUCCUGGCUAUUUAUGUCUGGCUAACUUUUUUCUCAGGCGAAUACAGAGGAACUGGCUGAAGCAUGGACAGAUUGUGUUGACAAUAGACUCUAGUUAUUUAGCGGUGAAUCCAGUGACCAGGCUGUUUUCGUCUGGCUGUGAGAGACGCGGUUAAGGCUAAUGUCUUACCUGCCAGGGCCAGGAGUGGGGAUUCGCCACCUCACCACCAACAACUCUGGGCUGAUGUACAUCUUCCAUGUAUCUGGGCAUGGGCGGCCGUCUCUCAGCCAGCACUACACAGUAGACAAGACUCACAGGUAAAGACUUGGGAGUGCAGCUUGAAAACAAUUUGCUCAUUUUACUGACUGGAGUGUAACGAGUCUCUUUUUAGUGAGUCAUUCAACUGUCAGCUGGUAGCAAAC
rnacentral:lncRNA from 1 species